UACGGAGGGUGCAAGCGUUAUCCGGAUUCACUGGGCUUAAAGGGUGCGUAGGUGGGCAGGUAAGUCAGUGGUGAAAUCUCCGGGCUUAACUCGGAAACUGCCAUUGAUACUAUCUUUCUUGAAUACCGUGGAGGUCAGCGGAAUAUGUCAUGUAGCGGUGAAAUGCUUAGAUAUGACAUAGAACACCAAUUGCGAAGGCAGCUGGCUACACGAAUAUUGACACUGAUGCACGAAAGCGUGGGGAUCAAACAGG
rnacentral:rRNA from 1 species